rnacentral:rRNA from 1 species
GACGAACGCUGGCGGCGUGCCUAAUACAUGCAAGUAGAACGCACAGUUUAUACCGUAGCUUGCUCCACCACAGACUGUGAGUUGCGAACGGGUGAGUAACGCGUAGGUAACCUGCCUGGUAGCGGGGGAUAACUAUUGGAAACGAUAGCUAAUACCGCAUAAUAUUAAUUAUUGCAUGAUAAUUAAUUGAAAGGUGCAAUUGCACCACUACCAGAUGGACCUGCGUUGUAUUAGCUAGUAGGUGAGGUAACGGCUCACCUAGGCGACGAUACAUAGCCGACCUGAGAGGGUGAUCGGCCACACUGGGACUGAGACACGGCCCAGACUCCUACGGGAGGCAGCAGUAGGGAAUCUUCGGCAAUGGACGAAAGUCUGACCGAGCAACGCCGCGUGAGUGAAGAAGGUUUUCGGAUCGUAAAGCUCUGUUGUAAGAGAAGAACGGGUGUGAGAGUGGAAAGUUCACACUGUGACGGUAUCUUACCAGAAAGGGACGGCUAACUACGUG